GCUGUUGUAGCUCAGUUGGUAGAGUACGUCCUUGGUAAGGACGAGGUCAUGAGUUCGAGCCUCAUCAACAGCU
rnacentral:tRNA from 1 species